GCGAUGGGGAUCGCGAUCUCCCCACGAGGCGACAGCCGAAGCAUCGCGUCCUGCCAGGUUCACAAAGGACGCUGCCAUG
rnacentral:ncRNA from 1 species